GAUGAACGCUGGCGGCGUGCCUCAAACAUGCAAGUCGAGCGGGGCUAUGUAAUAUCGCAAGGUAGAACAUAGCCUAGCGGCGAACGGGUGAGUAACACGUGGGUAACCUGCCUGGAAGACAGGGAUAACGAUUCGAAAGGGUCGCUAAUACCUGAUAAUAUCCUUUCAUCGCAUGGUGAUAGGAAGAAAGGGGAAACCCGCUUUCAGAUGGGCCCGCGUCCCAUCAGCUAGUUGGUAAGGUAAAGGCUUACCAAGGCGACGACGGGUAGCCGGUCUGAGAGGAUGUACGGCCACACUGGGACUGAGAUACGGCCCAGACUCCUACGGGAGGCAGCAGUUGGGAAUCUUAGGCAAUGGACGAAAGUCUGACCUAGCGACGCCGCGUGAGGGAAGAAGGCCUUCGGGUUGUAAACCUCUGUCAGUGGGGGAAGAAGGAAGUGACGGUACCUCCGGAGGAAGCCACGGCUAACUACGUG
rnacentral:rRNA from 1 species